UACGGGGGGGGCAAGCGUUGUUCGGAAUUACUGGGCGUAAAGGGCUCGUAGGCGGCCAACUAAGUCAGACGUGAAAUCCCCAGGCUUAACCUGGGAACUGCGUCUGAUACUGGAUGGCUUGAAUUCGGGAGAGGGAUGCAGAAUUCCAGGUGUAGCGGUGAAAUGCGUAGAGAUCGGGAGGAACACCUGUGGCGAAGGCGGCCGACUGGGCCGACCCUGACGCUGAGGCGCGAAGGCGUGGGGAGCGAACGGG
rnacentral:rRNA from 1 species